GUUGUUGUGGCGGAGUGGUUAAGGUGAUGGACUAAAGCUCCAUUAGAAAUCCAUCCCGUGCAGGUUCAAAUCCUGAAGACUACG
rnacentral:tRNA from 1 species